AUGGCCGGCACCUCCCCUAACCUCCUCUCCAACACUGCCGACGCCCUUACCAUGGCUGCCGCCGGCACCCUCGCCACCAGUUCCAGCUCCUCUGCUGCGCCCACGAUCACUUCGAUUGGAAACCUCAUCACCCUGCGUCUCACAAGAGACAACUUCCUGCUAUGGAAGACCCAGACUGUCCCUGCUCUUGCUUCAAACGGUCUGUUCGGCUACGUCCUCGGCUCCGAGAUGGCGCCACCACAGACCAUCAUGGAGGGCAUCGGUGAUGCAGCCGAGGAGGUGGCCAAUCCGGCGUUCCUUUGGUGGUUCCAGCAGGACCAGCUGGUCUGGACCUCUCUCCAUGACAUGUUUGCCUCACAGAAUCAUGCCUGCAUCAUGCAGCUGCGCUACCAGCUCUCCAAUCUGAACAAGAAGGACCUCACCGCCUCGGAGUACUACCGCAAGAUGCGGGGCUUCGCCGACGCCAUGGCGUCCAUCGGCAAGCCACUCAACAACGAAGAGGUGCUUGGCUACAUACUCGCCGGACUAGGUCCCGAGUUCGAGCCAUUGGUCGCAUUGGUCAUGGCGCGCGACGACUCCAUCAGCCUCAGCAGCUUCUACGCGCUCCUCCUCAGCGCCGAACUCCGCCACAAGCAGCAGGCCGCUGUCGGCGAGAUCCACUCCUCGGCCAACGCAGCCACCUGCAAUUCUGAUGGUCGCGGUGCUGGCCGUGGCAACCAGGGUGGACAGGGCGGCAACAACAGCAACAGUGGCAAUCGUGGCCGCGGUGGACGUGGCCAUAACAAUGGCCGCAACAACCUGAAGUGUCAGGUCUACAGCAAGUUUAGUCAUGAUGUGCUCCACUGCCGCAACCGCUUCAACCAUGCGUUCCAUCCUGAAGAUUAG
rnacentral:rRNA from 1 species